rnacentral:rRNA from 1 species
ACGCUGGCGGCAGGCCUAACACAUGCAAGUCGAGCGGUAGAGAGAAGCUUGCUUCUCUUGAGAGCGGCGGACGGGUGAGUAAUGCCUAGGAAUCUGCCUGGUAGUGGGGGAUAACGUUCGGAAACGGACGCUAAUACCGCAUACGUCCUACGGGAGAAAGCAGGGGACCUUCGGGCCUUGCGCUAUCAGAUGAGCCUAGGUCGGAUUAGCUAGUUGGUGGGGUAAUGGCUCACCAAGGCGACGAUCCGUAACUGGUCUGAGAGGAUGAUCAGUCACACUGGAACUGAGACACGGUCCAGACUCCUACGGGAGGCAGCAGUGGGGAAUAUUGGACAAUGGGCGAAAGCCUGAUCCAGCCAUGCCGCGUGUGUGAAGAAGGUCUUCGGAUUGUAAAGCACUCUAAGUUGGGAGGAAGGGUUGUAGAUUAAUACUCUGCAAUUUUGACGUUACCGACAGAAUAAGCACCGGCUAACUCUGUGCCAGCAGCCGCGGUAAUACAGAGGGUGCAAGCGUUAAUCGGAAUUACUGGGCGUAAAGCGCGCGUAGGUGGUUAGUUAAGUUGGAUGUGAAAUCCCCGGGCUCAACCUGGGAACUGCAUUCAAAACUGACUGACUAGAGUAUGGUAGAGGGUGGUGGAGUUUCCUGUGUAGCGGUGAAAUGCGUAGAUAUAGGAAGGAACACCAGUGGCGAAGGCGACCACCUGGACUGAUACUGACACUGAGGUGCGAAAGCGUGGGGAGCAAAC